UGCCAGCAGCCGCGGUAAUACGGAGGGUGCGAGCGUUAAUCGGAAUUACUGGGCGUAAAGGGCGCGUAGGCGGUUCGAUAAGUCAGAUGUGAAAGCCCAGGGCUUAACCUUGGAAUUGCAUUUGAUACUGUCGGGCUUGAGUGUGGUAGAGGAAAGCGGAAUUCCGGGUGUAGCGGUGAAAUGCGUAGAUAUCCGGAGGAACAUCAGUGGCGAAGGCGGCUUUCUGGACCAACACUGACGCUGAGGCGCGAAAGCGUGGGGAGCAAACAGGAUUAGAUA
rnacentral:rRNA from 1 species